GGCGCUGCUUCCAGUUGUCUGAGGCUGCGAGGCGGCCACCGCGUCUGGAGCGAAGCUGAGGGGCUGCCCCGGCCCUGAGCGCCCGUCACCGCCUCCCGGCUCCCUGUGGGAAGACUCCAUGCCAGCAGCAUUCGGGUCUGGUGGGCGAGCUGACCAGCGCAGCCUGCCAGGGAAGCAGCCAGCCAGAACCUCGGGAGGAUGGAGCCGGACUGAGCAUCGUGGUUCCCUCACCCGCAAGCCCAAAUUCUCAGUCAUAAUCCUCGAACAACUAUGGAAGAUUCAUAUCUUUUUCAAUUGCCAGCAUUAAAAUAUCUAGACAUGGGAGCAACACAAGUGUCACUUGGACCAGUCCAAAACAUCCUCAUGAUGACUCUUGAAUUGGAAAAACUGAUAUUACCUAGGCAUCUCACCUGCUGCCUCUGCCAAUUUAAGAAUAAAAUAGACUCUGUCUGCAAAGUAGUCAA